AAAAGUUGCUUCGGUGGAUCACUCGGUUCGCGGGUCGAUGAAAAACGCAGUGAAUUGCGAUAAUAAGUACGAAUUACAGAUAUUAUGAGUGCCAUGUUUUUGAAUGCAUAUUGCGCCGUUGGGUUCUGCUCUUCGGCGUAUGUGAUUCAGGGUGGUUUGU
rnacentral:rRNA from 1 species